GACGAACGCUGGCGGCGUGCCUAAUACAUGCAAGUAGAACGCUGAAGGAGGAGCUUACUUCUCUGGAUGAGUUGCGAACGGGUGAGUAACGCGUAGGUAACCUGCCUGGUAGCGGGGGAUAACUAUUGGAAACGAUAGCUAAUACCGCAUAAGAGUAGAUGUUGCAUGACAUUUACUUAAAAGGUUCAAUUGCACCACUACCAGAUGGACCUGCGUUGUAUUAGCUAGUUGGUGGGGUAACGGCUUACCAAGGCGACGAUACAUAGCCGACCCGAGAGGGUGAUCGGCCACACUGGGACUGAGACACGGCCCAGACUCCUACGGGAGGCAGCAGUAGGGAAUCUUCGGCAAUGGACGGAAGUCUGACCGAGCAACGCCGCGUGAGUGAAGAAGGUUUUCGGAUCGUAAAGCUCUGUUGUAAGAGAAGAACGAGUGUGAGAGUGGAAAGUUCACACUGUGACGGUAUCUUACCAGAAAGGGACGGCUAACUACGUGCCAGCAGCCGCCGUAA
rnacentral:rRNA from 1 species